UACAGAGGGUGCGAGCGUUAAUCGGAAUUACUGGGCGUAAAGCGUGCGCAGACGGUCAUGUAAGUCGGGUGUGAAAGCCCCGGGCUCAACCUGGGAAUUGCAUUCGAGACUGUGUGGCUAGGGUGCGGAAGAGGGAAGCGGAAUUUCCGGUGUAGCGGUGAAAUGCGUAGAUAUCGGAAAGAACAUCAGUGGCGAAGGCGACUUCCUGGACUGAUACUGACACUGAGGUGCGAAAGCGUGGGGAGCAAACAGG
rnacentral:rRNA from 1 species